AUUCUCUGUCCCAAGAGCACAGGGUCAAACCUGGCGGUGUUUGUUCCCACGUGACUCAUUACGUUUCUCUGCAAAGAGAGGAAGAUACAGGAACACCUUUUUUCAAGGAUGUUAAUUAUGAAGCUAUCAGAGAUGCCUUCAAGGGAGGAAGUAAUGUUAAGAGAACUCAAAAACACACCAACUGCUGUGUGAGGACCUCCAUUGGGAAUGGUGUCUGGCUCUGGAGAAGAGGCUUUCUUACAAAAUAACAAUCCAAUCAAGACUCUAAGGUUUGCGAGGCCACUGGUGUCAAGGGCCACUGUGGAUCGUGGUCACUAGCCGGAGGAGUAUCACACUAUCGGUCAAAGCCUGUCGUGGUGAACGUGAUUUGGGGCAGAGGGAAAACCUGCCACAAAGUGCACAUCACUCACCAGAGAAACAAAAUGGAUGAGAAGCCUACCACCAGGAAAGGGUCAGGUUUCUGCUCAUUACGCUACGCGCUGGCUCUCAUCAUGCACUUCUCCAACUUCACCAUGAUAACGCAGCGUGUGAGCCUGAGCAUUGCCAUCAUUGCCAUGGUGAACAGCACACAGCAUCAGGACCCAGCUAAUGCGUCCACGGAGGGGCCUGUGAUGGAUCUCCUCAGCAACCAGAGCAGAGGAAUCAAGGACUUUAGUACCCGGGCUGCUGUCUAUCAGUGGAGCACAGAGACCCAGGGCAUUAUCUUUAGCUCCAUCAGCUAUGGAAUCAUACUGACGUUAAUACCAAGUGGAUAUUUAGCGGGGAUAUUUGGAGCAAAGCAGAUCCUUGGCGCUGGGUUGCUCAUCUCAUCCCUGCUCACGCUGUUUACUCCACUGGCUGCUGACUUUGGGGUGAUUUUGGUCAUUGUCAUUCGCACAGUCCAGGGGAUGGCACAGGGAAUGGCCUGGACUGGUCAGUUCACAAUUUGGGCAAAGUGGGCUCCGCCACUUGAACGGAGCAAGCUCACCAGCAUUGCGGGUUCAGGUAGCAUUGGCUGUGUCUGCUGUGUCCUGUGGUUCACGGUGAUUUAUGAUGACCCCAUGCAUCACCCAUGCAUAAGUGUGAGGGAAAAGGAACACAUCACAUCCUCAGUGGCUCAGCAGUCGAGUUCUCCCAGAAGGUCUGUCCCCAUAAAGGCGAUGGUCAGAUGCCUGCCACUGUGGGCCAUUUUCAUGGGUUUUUUCAGUCAUUUCUGGCUUUGCACCAUAAUCAUAACAUACCUACCGACGUACAUCAGCACAGUGCUGCACGUUAACAUCAGAGACGUGAGUACACUCCUCUACUGUGGCUGUGACAAUAAUGGCUGUAGUCCUGCACUGCCCACUAUAUUCCAGUGUAUAGAAUUAUUUCCCCUUCACCAUGGUGGUGACAGAGGCAGUGCCAUGACUCCCAUUUCACAACAGUGGAACUGGGACAUUCAGAGGUGAGAUAACUUGCUGUGGGUUACGUGACUACUGCGACUACUGCUGUGCAUCUGGGUUCUUAAUCGCCAUGUUCUUCUGCCACACCUACUGGUCCAGAAGUUUCCCCCAGAAACUUCCAUCCCUUUUCUCGGGCGUUGGUUCUCUGGCCUAAGACAGUGCCCUUCCGCGUGGCAAGGGUGCUAGUUUCCCUGAAAUAACUGGGAAUCUCAGAGGUUAGGCUAUGUUCCAUCUGUGUGAUAAACGCUGGUUCCCCACACUGCUCUGUGAUGUUCUGUGUACAUUUCCUUCUUUCAGAGUGGGGUUCUGUCCUCCCUGCCUUUCAUUGCUGCCUCAAGCUGUACAAUUUUAGGAGGUCAGAUGGCAGAUUUCCUUCUCUCCAGGAAUCUUCUCAGCUUAAUCACAGUUCGAAAACUCUUUUCAUCCCUGGGUAAGGAUAGGUGUGUGGAUUCAGGUAACCACUCUCCUUCCUGCGUGUGCUUUGAGAAGCCUCUUGACAUGUCCCCAUUCUCCAGGGCUCCUCCUUCCAUCCCUUUGCGCUGUGGCCCUGCCUUUUGUGACUUCCAGUUACAUAGCAACCAUUGUUUUGCUGAUACUCAUUCCUGGGACCAGCAAUUUGUGUGACUCAGGGUUCAUCAUCAACACCCUAGACGUUGCCCCCAGAUAUGCAAGUUUCCUCAUGGGCAUCUCAAGGGGAUUUGGUCUUACUGCAGGGAUCAUCUCAUCCACUACCACCGGAUUCCUUAUCAGUCAGGUUGGGCAUGUUAUUGAACAUCUGCAAGUGGCAGGAUUCUGAAUCAGGAUGGAGGAAUGUGUUUUUCCUGUCUGCUGCUGUCAACAUGUUUGGUCUGAUCUUUUAUCUCAUAUUUGGACAAGCAGAAAUCCAGAGCUGGGCCAAAGAAAGGACUCUCACCCGCCUCUGAGGAUGUAGGGUUGGAGACCAACCAAAGUGCUGACCCUUAACAUACUUUGCUUAUCACCAUUCUUUCUUUGUACUUACGACCAUAGACACAGCGCUUCUCUAUUCUGGCUGGGUGCUAGCAUUUUCCAAAGAUCUUCAAAAGCAGAUCCCAGGCUACCCUCCAGAGUGAGUUAGUCUGUGGUGGAACCCAGGUGCCACUAAGUUUUAGACUCCUGGGAAGUUUUUCAUGCAACUGUGUUUGAUAAUGGUAGAGGAAUUUGAAGUCAAUUUUAGUUGCCUUUGAAUUUUCCUCUUUGGAAAGUAGUAGAUGAAUAAAAAUCUAUCUGAAAUAAUUUGAUAAACCUUCUUUGAGACUGUUAGGAACACAGGAAAGGUCCUAUAAGAAUUGUAUUUUUAAGCUAUAAAACUCAACAAAGAACAGAAUUGAAUCCUAUAAUCAUAGAAUUAACUUUAUUCCUUUUAUAAUACUCCAGGAAACAUGGGUGUUUAUACAGUUAGAUGCUGUUAAAAUAAACAUACUAAGAUUAAACAAAGUACAUUAAAAUUAUGUAGGGUAGGAGUCUUUCUAAAGAUGGAACAAUAUUUAUGAAUCUUAGCCAAUUUCUUGGAGGUUGUGACCAAAAAACAAUGAGAAAAUGAUUCAAUGAAUGAAGUUUAAAUGGAAUACAGAAAGAGAGAUUGAAUAGAUACCAGAAAGGGCAAAGUGAACAUCUCAAAACACUAUCAUAGUUUAGUCAUGUGGUGAAAUUAGAAAGAGAAAACAGAAACACUCUUAAGUGAACAUCAGGGAAGAGAUUAGUAAGGGUUAAAUGAGCUGGAGAGAUGCUUGGAGAAAAAUUGCAUAAGAGACAUUCAUCCUUAAGGUAGAGACUAUGUGACCCUCAUAUUCUCCCAAAUAGUCAUAUUCAAUUAUAAAAUAAAAUUCAGUAGUAAUUGGUUUGGGGUUUUAAUGUGUACAAUAAACUCUAAGGCACCUCCAUAUAGAUGGCUUAUUCUAUUUUUGCCUCAAUUUUCUUAGAAAAAGUAUUUUUAAAAUCAUAUUAAGAAUUUCAAAAUGACUGCAGGACAAGAACCUUUGAUUAAUUCAUAAGGGGAGGAGAACCUUCUAAUUAGGUUAGAGUUAGAACAAGAGGUAAUUUUGACCAGAAGUUGUAAGGAUAAUAGUUGGUGUCAGGUACUGAGAGUGAUGCUGAGAUAAUAACUCAUUGGAUCUGCUUUCCAAAUAUUUAUAAUACAUAGAGCAAAGGAGUCUGUAUGAAACUAGAAGACUGGAAAGAGGGAUAUUAUAUAAUGAAUUGGUAUGUUAUAUAUGAAGGGAGAGAGAGCUCUCAAAGAAUGAUUGUAGUCUGGGAGUUAAAUUGAGAGAGGGAAGAAAGAAGUGGAUAAGAGGAAAUAUGGGGAGAGACAGCUAAAACUAAGGUCCAUUAGAAGGGUCAUAUAGAAAUCUACUAGCAUAGAAACUUCUUAAAUAUAUAAAAACGCAUAUAAAUAAAAGCAAUAUAAAUGAAAUCACCAUGAAAUGGGAGACAAAGCUCUAACUAGGCAUCUUCUACCACCAAAUAAAACCUCUAGUGCCAGAAAUGGCUUACAUCUAAUUGAGUUGUUGGCUGGAGAUGCCCCCAUGGAAACCCACAAAUAACCCAAGCUAUUGCCAAGGUCAUUGGUGGCUCUCCACAAACUGAUGGUUAGGCCCUAUUGCUGAAAACAACACCUACAUUACUCAAUGAACACUGAAAAGUUGUACUGGUGCCCACAUAGAACCUUACUGACUAGUUCAUGGUUGAAGAAGGCACUCCGUGCUACCAGUGGAGAAAGGAAACCACCAACCUAGCUAAAAACCUUGGCUCUACAAUAGCGAUCUGCUUGAACGAUAUGCUGGUAAAUAGUGGCAAAACAAAGUCGUGGGAGUAACUAACUAUCUGACGUAUUUAAGGUGGUCCACUCCAAAAAACAAAACAACAAACAAACAAACAAACAACAACAACAACAAACAUGCCUAAGAAUUCUCAGUUGGUCAAUAACCUGAGACUAGAUAGGUCAUAGAUCUAUAAGAAAGGCAAAUACUACUAUUCGGUGAAAGGAACAUGGCAAUAAAAUGACUCUUAAUGGCCUUCUGCUGUACUUACAGUGUCUUGCUCAGCCAUCAUCAGAGAAGCUUCUUCCCGUAGUAGGUGAGAAUACAGACAGACACCCACAACUGGACAAUGGGCUGAAAGCGAGAGACCUUGGAGCCCUCAGUCUAAAUGGAAUGUCUCCAUCAAAUUCUUCCCCUCAGGGUUCAGGGAACUUUGGAAAAGUAGGGGGAAAGAUUGUAAGAGCCGCUGGGGAUGGAAGACCCCCCCCCCAAGGAGACAAGGCCUUUUAGAUACAACAGAGCUGAUGUCCAUGUGAACUCAUAACCUUUGUGAAAGCAUACCCAGUAUGCACUUGUCUUAGCCAGAGUGGGCACUAGCACUGAGAAGAACAUGGACACAAACCCCCAUCCCUACCCAGAAGGUGACUCCAAUUGAACUUUGUUUGCUUUAAUGGAGUUGUACUGGUUAUACAAAUUACACGUAAAGGCGGGCCCCAUGCCUAGCAGUAGAUGGGCAACACAAAAAUCAACUCAAUGAUAUUCUUGAAGGUUGCUUAUGUUUUUUGUUUUGAUCUGUUGACUCAUAAUGCUUCAUUUGCUCUUUUUUUUUACCUUAGAGAUAUUUUGCUUAUACAUUAUGGUUUUUAUUUUAUAUUUUAGUAAAAUUCCUGUGUUUGCAUGAAUGUGUA